rnacentral:lncRNA from 1 species
UUUGCGAAUCCUGAAACUAAAUGCAACCUUCCAGCCCACCAAGUUAGGGCAGAAGACAGGGCUUAACACGUCUAAGGCUAUAACAGCAAGGCAGACGGGAAUUCCCCAUACAACAUCAAUGACAGGCUGCAAUAAACAUCAACAACAAAACAACACAACCAGUAUUUUCGGGAGAAGAUACCUCGACCUCAGAUCAUUUGGGAAGCAUCUUAACACAGAGUGCCAGACCCAGCUAAGAAAACCAGGUGUUUGUUCAGCAGAAGUGUGUGAGAAGCGAUGCGAGUCGAGCCUGUGUAAAGGGAGAAACUCAUUAGACUAGCUGAAAGCACCACAGAAAGGAGCUUGCUGGAUUGAUUUGGCCGUUACGAGCAGAUCCAAGCCAAGUACUGACAAACACUUCAACAACGUCGAAAGUAGCCUAUUUUAAGCGGAAAUAUGCAGAAGAAGAAGAAGAUUUACAUCAAGAUUACCAGGGGUAUUUUUCAAAAGUGAGUUGAAAAACACAUGUGCGCGCAUGCACACACACAU